AUUUCUUUUUUUAAUUUUUUGCCAUGACUUGUUGCGGCUUCAUCACCCAUUUAAGCAACAGCCAGCAAAGAGCAGAGCUGACUGAGGCGGAGCUGCCGUCCAGGGGCAGGAAGGAAAUGGGGAGGGAGUGCUGUCAGGAGCAGGGAACAGAGGAGAGAGGAAGGGAGGUCAGUGGCCCUAACCACGGCCGAGAGCCAAGUUCAGUGCAGAUCCGAGAAGGGCUUACUCAAGGUUGAGAAGGUCUUUGGAAAUCUUGGCCAGAGCAGUUUCGGAGGUGUGGUGGGGCCGGAGCAGAGUCAGGUAUUGGAGGGUAAAUACAAUACAGAGUAAGGGCGAGGAUCAUUCUUUCCAGAGCUUUGUGCCUGGUGGGGAGAGACAGGAGGAGACGGACUGUGAGCAGGGAGCGAGGACUUGGUUUGAAUCCUGAGGGGAAGGAGUCCAUACAGACGGAGAGGCUCUGGGUGCAAAACAGAAAUCAUAACGUGUUUUUUCUCUUACGUAUUUAAAAACUUCCUCCAGCACCUACUGAGUAUAAGGCCCCUGGUUGCGUGGUGACUGUGGAGGGCCAGGGCUGUAGAAAGGCUGCAUGUUGAGUUUAAUGAUUUUUCCAGCCUAUUCUUAGAAAUGUCUUCAAAGCUGUGCUAACAGGUUGGCUCUGGCUGAUAAGGUGCCAUCGCCCCUUGCCUCUGAUGUUAUGUGGUGCUCAGUCUUCUAGACAUUGUUCCACUAAUUGGCUUCCCGGAGCUGCUUGCUCGGCUGUGCCAAGGGCGAUUAACAGACUGUGCUGAUGCGGCUCCCAGCCCUCGCGAGGGGCAGCACGUGAGCCCGUCCUUGGGAAGCUGGAGGCCGGAGAGGGUCCUUCCGAAGGCCGGAGCAUCCCAUGGUUCCGGAGCCCUGAGGCUAAAUUCCACGCAAGGGCCCUUGUGCUUUAUUUAUUUUCCUCUAGGUUGACCCAUCCUGGGAAAGACUUGGGACAAAGCACCAUUGUUUAGCUUGUGGAUGCAAGAAACAGAGAAAAAAAAAAAAAGCGUAGUUAAGAAGGGAACAGGACAUUCUAAGCUUGGGCUUCUCAACUAUCUGUAACAAAGGUUUAUUUUGUUUAAUUUCUUGGUCUAGACUAAUGCUGACUCUCACUUCCUGUCAUUGGAACCGUAACACAUUGUUCACAGACCUGCCCUAGUUCAAAGUCCAUGCUUUGGUCAAUUUCUCCUUCUAAUAAUGAUACUAACGUAGGCACUUUAUGCAUGCCCAGGUUAGGGUGGUCAGCCGGCUUCACCUUUGGAGCCCCAGGAGCCCGGGUCAGAGGCUUCUCAGCUCUCUUCCCUGCAGGUUUGAGUGUGUACCUUCCAGUGGGUUUCCCCGGAAACAGGCCCCCAGACAAGGAUGUGAGUGCUAGAUUAUGGGGACAUGAUCCCAGAAAGUAUUGUUAAGAGAUUGGGAAAGUGACAGAGCUCCUGCUGUGGCGAAACAGGCUCGGUGGUGUCUCGGGAGCACUGGGACGCAGGUUUAAUCCCCAGCCCAGCACAGUGGGUGAAGGAUAUGGCAUUGCCUCAGCUACAGCUUAGGUUGCAGUUGUGGCUUGGAUCCAAUACCUGGCCUAGAAACUGCACGUGCGUGGGUCAACCAAGAAAAAAAAAAUAAAGAAAAAAGUAGACAGAGAAAGAAAAAAGAUUGGGAAAGUGAAAUGAGGCUGGGAAGAAGUCACUAUAGGGGCAUGAUAAGCAAAUCAUGGGGGUGACUGGUCUCCAUCCUGCGGGGGAUGUUCUGAGAGAGCAGGGGACGCUCACCUGGAGUCAGCCUGCUCAGGGCACAAGGAGCGUCAGUGCAGAGGCACCGCUGCCAGGUCAUUCCUCCUUCCCUCCCCACCUCCUGCCUGCAGGCUCCAGGGGGCAGAGACAGCCUCCAGGCAAGGACCUGCAGGGGGCUGGGGCUAGAACAGCCGGAUAAGGGCGGGGGUCAGCAGCCUCCCUCUGCAGUCCAGUCAUGCCAGCGUGUGCCUUUUGCUCUGUGCCCCCCUCAGUGCUGUGUGAUGAUCUGGCCCCUCGUUUCUCUCCCCUCCUGAAGGCUCGGACCUCCGAAGGCAGAGGCUGUUCCCUUGAUCUCUGAACCUCACGGUAGGGUUCUUUAGCAGCCAGAAGAUGCAGAACGCGUGACUCUGACCCUCCCAACACCCCAGGGUGGGAUCGCUCUUCGCCUCAUUUUACAGGAUGUUCAUUUACCCUCCCCAAAGCCAUGGACUGGGAUGAAAACUGCUCCCAACUCCUUCCGGCCCUGACACGGGACGAUGAUGCUGAAGUUUAUCUAGGAAGAGGCACAAAUCGGACAGCCUACCCUAAUAAAUCAUGGAGUAGGAACAGGUGACAAGCACACACUUGUGCCCAUGUGACUUCACUUCUGCCAGCUCCCUCCAGCGCAGGACAAAUGGUGGGUGUGGUCCCCCCCACCCCGUGCUGAGCUGCUGACAGGAGCGGGAGCAGAGGCAGGACUGGGCUAUGCUGAUCUGAUAAGAGGAUUAAGUUUCGGCUUCCCUCCCACCAACCCUAAUGCCCGGGACUAAGCGGCUGCCCAAGCUGAGCCCUUUCUCAGAUGGAAAAUGUCUCUCUGCCCAGGCAAUCGCUGCCUGCCAGUUCCCAGAGCCACCAGCUUCUCCCCCAACCCCAACAACACCUUUGCCCAGGUGGUGCCCUCUGUCAGCAAUGCCCCGCCCCUCUGGUCAAAUACCCACUUGUUCUUCCAGACUGGUUCAGGUUUCACCUCUGAGCUGUUGCCCUAGUUCUGGGGGAGGGUUUAGCUGCUCCCUCCUGUGCUCUCCUGGCCCCAGGCCCACCCCUCUCUUCCCACGCAGUACGUGUGGACCUCCGACAGUAGUUAUUUUUCUCACAUGAUUAUCUUUCCGUUGAUAGGAUGAGCUUCCUGAGGACAAGGACCAGCUUCCUUCGCGGGGUCUGGCAUAUAAUGGUUUCUUUAUAAAUGUUUCUAGGUUGCUA